GCUCAUUCAUCUAGGUAGAAAAAGGCUAAACUCAAAUUAAAUACAGGGUUUCAGAGCGGCGCCUGGGUGGCUCAGUCGGUUAAGCCUCUAACUCCUGACUUAGGCUCAGGUCAUGAUCUCAUGGUUCAUCGGUUCAAGCACCAAAUCAGGCUCCACCCUGACAGUGCAGAACCUGCCUGAGAUUCUCUCUCCUCUUCUCCCUGUGUCUCUGUCCCUUCCUUGUUCAUGUGCUUGCGUGCACGCUCACUCUUUCUGUUUCUGUCUCUCUCUCUAAAUAAAUAAAUGCAUUUAAAAAAUAAACAAGAUUUCAAGGCAUCAGAUUUCAUGAUUUACAUGUUGUAUCAACUUUCCCAGGUUUUAGGGCUAAGAGACAAAGUAAAAUAACAAAUAAUUUGGGAUUCCAAGGUCCCUGUUAAUCGGUGACCUCUAAAAUAUCAGUAGCUCAUUUGUUUUAAUCAUUCGUACCCCAGUUUUGUUUCUGUUAAUUACAGUCCCAGAUUCAGUGGUUUAUGGUAUGAAAUUUAUCAACCAAUAAAUAAUUUUAGUAAAUUUAAUUUCUAUAUUGUCUAGCAUUGGGACCUUAAAGCUCCAUAUUCUUCCUCAGAGCUUUAUUUAAUGUUGCCUCUAGUUAUCCACUGGAAAUGGUAUGUAUGACCCCAGGCAUCUUCAUGGUAGAUUUUUCUGCCACUUUCUUCUGUCUAUUCUAUGCAGCUGCCUAAUGAGUCAUUUCAAUGUCUACUUCAUAUUUCCCAGCUGCAUUUCAUUUAGUUACCCAAUAUACUGCACAUGCAUGAAGAAACACUUACAAGGUUCGUGUUCAAGAAUGCUUAGAUUAGUGGGUGGCUUAGAGAGGGGGAGGAGGAUGACAGAAAGAAAUUAAUUUGAGUGUGGUUCAGAAAACGUGUCUCAUGUGUCUUAAUAUCUGUUACUUUUUUUGAGGAAAUCGUCCAAGCUACAGAUUUAAAUCAAAACCUUUGAGGAAUUAUAUUUCUUCAAGCAGCUUGACCUUGAUAGUUUUUUUAAGUUUAUUUAUUUAUUCUAAAAGAGAGAGAGAGAGAGAGAGAGAGAGAGCACACAUGUGAGUGGGGGGAGGGUCAGAGAGAAGGAGAGGGAGAAUCCAAAGCAGGCUCUGUACUGUCAGCCCAAUGUGGGGCUCAAAACCCUCAAUGGUCAAGAGCUGUCCAGUGCUUAACCAACUGAGCCACCCAGGUGCCCUGACCUUGAUAUAGUUUUCCUAUCUCUUUUAUUUUCAUUAAAAAUAGUUUAAUGACCAGAAAACUGUUUUUACGUAAAUAUUUACAAGCUGUGUCUUUGAAAUAAUUUCUCCCCUUUUGUCCAA
rnacentral:lncRNA from 1 species